CCUACGGGGGGCAGCAGUGAGGAAUAUUGGUCAAUGGCCGGAAGGCUGAACCAGCCAUGCCGCGUGAAGGGCAGGGACCUAUGGGCGUUAAACUUCUUUUGUGCGGGAGCAAGAAUGGUCACGUGUGGCCAGACGAGAGUACCGUACGAAGAAGCAGCGGCUAACUCCGGGCCAGCAGCCGCGGUAAUCCGGGGGAUGCAAGCGUUAGCCGGAUUUAUUGGGUUUAAAGGGUGCGUAGGCUGUGAGGUAAGUGAGCGGUGAAAUGCCCCCCCUCAACGGGGUGAAGUGCCAUUGUUACUGCCUUGCUGGAUUGCGGAUGCCGUGGGCGGAAUGUGUGGUGUAGCGG
rnacentral:rRNA from 1 species